rnacentral:rRNA from 1 species
GUCCCCGCACAAGCGGCGGAGCAUGCGGCUUAAUUCGAUGCAACCCGAAGAACCUUACCUGGGUUUGACAUCACGGGAAAAGCUGUAGAAAUACAGUGUCCAUUAGGGCCCGUGACAGGUGGUGCAUGGCUGUCGUCAGCUCGUGUCGUGAGAUGUUGGGUUAAGUCCCGCAACGAGCGCAACCCUUGUCCUAUGUUGCCAGCGGUUCGGCCGGGGACUCAUAGGAGACUGCCGGGGAUAACUCGGAGGAAGGUGAGGACGACGUCAAGUCAUCAUGCCCCUUAUAUCCAGGGCUGCACGCAUGCUACAAUGGCCGGUACAACGGGCAGCGACCUCGCGAGAGUGAGCGAAUCCCUUAAAGCCGGCCCCAGUUCGGAUUGAAGUCUGCAACUCGACUUCAUGAAGCCGGAGUCGCUAGUAA